rnacentral:rRNA from 1 species
UACGUAGGCAGCGAGCGUUGUUCGGAGUUACUGGGCGUAAAGGGUGUGUAGGCGGUUCUCUAAGUUUGGUGUGAAAUCUCCCGGCUCAACCGGGAGGGUGCGCCGAAAACUGGAGGGCUAGAGUGCGGGAAGGGAGAGUAGAAUUCCUGGUGUAGCGGUGAAAUGCGUAGAUAUCAGGAGGAAUACCGGUGGUGUAGACGGCUCUCUGGACCGCGACUGACGCUGAGACACGAAAGCGUGGGUAGCAAACGGG